GACGAACGCUGGCGGCGUGCCUAAUACAUGCAAGUCGAGCGGACAGAUGGGAGCUUGCUCCCUGAAGUCAGCGGCGGACGGGUGAGUAACACGUGGGCAACCUGCCCUUGAGAUCGGGAUAACUUCGGGAAACCGGAGCUAAUACCGGAUAGGUCUUUCCCUCACAUGAGGGAAAGAGGAAAGACGGUUUCGGCUGUCACUCAAGGAUGGGCCCGCGGCGCAUUAGCUAGUUGGUGGGGUAACAGCUCACCAAGGCCACGAUGCGUAGCCGACCUGAGAGGGUGAUCGGCCACACUGGGACUGAGACACGGCCCAGACUCCUACGGGAGGCAGCAGUAGGGAAUCUUCCGCAAUGGACGAAAGUCCGACGGAGCAACGCCGCGUGAGUGAUGAAGGCUUUCGGGUCGUAAAACUCUGUUGUUAGGGAAGAACAAGUGCUAGUUGAAUAAGCUGGCACCUUGACGGUACCUAACCAGAAAGCCACGGCUAACUACGUGCCAGCAGCCGCUGUAAUAC
rnacentral:rRNA from 1 species